ACUGUGGGCAACCUGCCUGUAAGACUGGGAUAACUUCGGGAAACCGGAGCUAAUACCGGAUAAUAUAAGGAACCUCCUGGUUCUUUAUUGAAAGAUGGUUUCGGCUAUCACUUACAGAUGGGCCCGCGGCGCAUUAGCUAGUUGGUGAGGUAAUGGCUCACCAAGGCGACGAUGCGUAGCCGACCUGAGAGGGUGAUCGGCCACACUGGGACUGAGACACGGCCCAGACUCCUACGGGAGG
rnacentral:rRNA from 1 species